GAAGAUAAUGGUUUAAAAUAUGUAUGUGUAUGUGUUAACCAUUAAAUUUCUCCCUCAAUCUAAGCGCAGAAUAAUUCAGCUUUGUAAUAUUAACUUCUGCUAGGUGAGAGUUGUGCAAGUUUUUCUGAUUAUGGCAAAUUCAUGAAUCUACAUGCUUUCAAAGGUAAAGAGGCAAAGAAUACUGAGCUGACUCAUAGCUCUGAAAGAAGCAGCUGGGAUUUGUAAGAGACACACACUGACAUAACUUCAUUUGCCAAGGCUUAAUGAAAGGAGCUGCCAACUGAAGGGAUUAGCGAGUUUUAUAAAAGUCCUGCUCAUCUUGAACAUAUAAUUCAACAGGGUGUCAGAUACAACCGGGGAAUCACUAGAAUAGCUCACGCUUCGGGUAAUACAAAGAAGAGGAAAGAGAAGAGAGAAGAGACAUAAGUGCAGCCCGCAGAGAGCCAACCUCGAGCCGGGAAACCCGUAGUCUGAGCCCCACCUAAAAGUCAUUCUGGUGUGGGUCCCCCAGCGGGGCCGGCCACUUAGCCUUUCAAUGCUCUAGGCAAGCUCCAUGAGAUCCUACGUUGCAGAGGUGUUGACCAGCAUCUGUAGAGAGAGUUUCCUCAUCCUGGAGUUCCCUGUGUGGAUGAAAACACACACUUCAUUCUUUUGUAAUGGGGACAAAUCCUAAGCAGGUUCCGCACGUUCUUUUUUAUUAAAGGAGAGCAAAUUUGUAUUCAACACACCAUCCGGUAAAAGUGGAAAUUUUGUACCUUUGAACUACGUUCCCCAGAAUUCCUUUAGUAUUUCCCAGAAUUCCUCUUUCUCCACCACUUGCGUGGUUACGUUUUAUAUAUAGUUGGAUGUUUUUCCCGACCUUGCUCUCUUCUCGCGAUAGCGGCUGUUAACUCUCUUUGUUCUAGUUUUUACUGUCUUAUUAAAUAUAAUACUUGAGUGGUCUAACCAAUGAUGAGAAGCUGAGUUGUCGUAUUCCUGAUGAUAUUGCACAAAUUCAUCAAUAGAAAGGUGUAGGGGGCAGCUAAGUGGCCCAGAGACAGGAGUUCCUGAUUGCAAAUCUGGCUUCAGACACUUCCAAGAAUGCUUAUCAAAAGAUAUAAACAGAAGCAGCAAUGCGAUGAUCCUGGAUAUUUCUGUGGGACUUAUGAGAAAAAACGUUAUCCACAUUCAGAGGAAGAACUGUGGGAGCAGAAACACAGAAGAAAAACAUAUGAUUGAUAAAAUAGUUAGAUGGGGAUAUGAUUGGGCAUGAUGACCUUAAUUUAAUUGAUCACUCUAUUGCAAAUAUCAGUAAUAUGGAAAUAGUUCUUGAUCAAUGACACAUGUAAAACCCAGUGAAAUUGCUCCUUAGCUACGGGAAGGGAUUGGGUGGAGGGGAGAGAAAGAACAUGAAUCAUGUAACCAUGGGAAAAUAUUCUAAAUUAAUCAAUUAAAGAAAUAAAUUUCAAAAAAGAUACAGAGAAAGCAACACUAUUUGACUAAGCCAUUCUCUGGUCUUCUAGGUAUACUAGACAUUAACUUGGUUAAGGAUUUUGAGUAACUAGUAAGGAUUUUGAAAACUCAAGUUAAAAAUAACUUUAAGCAAUAAUGAAGUCAGAUGUACAUAUGAUAUAAAAUUAUAUAUGUAAUAUGUAUAUAAGUUAUAUAAAAUAAUAAAAAUAUGAACACUAAGCAGUUUAGGUUAAAAAACUUAGGAUUAGAGAAAAUGGCCAAGUGGUUUGGGGCUACCAGUUGGUUCCUUUUAUUUUUCUUCCAAGUUCAUCUUCUGUGCCUCCAAAAUCUUUGGUUUCUAACUUUAUGGAUUGUUCUCAUGGGCAGUCGUUCUCUGUGAAGAUUGGAUUUGGCUCUCCUCUGAUUAUAACAAUGAAAGUACUUAGCUCUUCCUUUAUUAUAAAAAUUAUAUUGUAAUCCCCUAUUUUUAGAUUUUAAUCCCCAAAGUAUAAACCCAGUAUUUAAAGUAGGUCUACCCAUUUUAACCACAAAAGAUGUGAACUAACUACAAAAAGGUGUGAACGAACCACAAAAGGUAUAAACACCCAUUUCAUACACUGAGUGGGAGGUCUGUGACCCACAUGUGAAAGAGUGGGCAGUCCUGGAGAGGAGCGUUGGCUGUGAUGGGUACAUGUAAAAUUUAGGGGAGUUGACACAAGAUUAAAAGGUCUUUAAAUAGAUAGAAUCAAUAUAGAUCAGGCACUUAGAGUUGGAGUGAAGAGUCACUUGGAAUUGAAGUGAAGAGAGACAGAAAGGCAGAUACUCAGACUUGGAGUGAAGACACCUGGCUAUGGAACUGGACCCCUGGAGGAACUUGUGCAGGAGACCACAGACUGCUUUCCUGUUAGACCAUCACUGUGACGACCAGUGAGGGGCUGGAGAGGCUACGGUGCCAUGAUGAGAGUCACUGUUCAGAAGGAUGAGAAUGAGGUUUUGAAAUCUUUGCACUUCACUGUAUUCCCCCUGCCAUCAGUAUGAUGGUACAUGGACCAGGGUCACUGAAAACAAGUUCAAGGGCAGCGUGUUAGCACAGUGGAUAGAGCAUCAGGCCUGGAGUUGUGAGAACCUGGGUUCAAAUCUGAUCUCAGAUGCUUCCUAGCUCUGUGACCCCGGGCAAGUCACUUAAACCCCAACUGCCUAACGCUUACUGCUCUUCUGCUUGAUGCUAAGACAGAAGAUGAGGGUUCAAAAACAAAAACAAACCAAAUACAAAGCAUUAUUUCGGCCAAGGAUGAACUGUCCGGUUUGUACUGAAGCAGCACCUUCAGUUAAUGCAGUUUUGGAUUCCUGGACUCCUCGAUGGUUCUGGAUUUAAAAGCAGUCGUGAAUGCUUCUCUGGGUUUUCUCUGCAUAAUUACUCCUGGAGGCCUUUGCCAGGUGUUUCCAAAUAGGAAAAUGAAAGUGUAAUUCUUUGUGACCCUGGGAAGAUGGACUAUUAUGAACUGCUAACAACACUUUCACACUUCCAACUGCAAUUCUGUGACAAGAUAUUCUUCACAUGAAAAUGUUGGUAGAAAUAAUGGUUAUCUCCAUUCUGUUUCAUGUAUGGAAAAGAAAAAAUGCUGCUUACCGUUCAAAUUUCAGAAGCAUUCACAUAUUUAGUGGGAAAGUCCUUUCUCCCUUAAGGAACCCAAGGAUUCUUUGAGCACCGGUGUAAAGGUAGCACAAAUAACGCAGAAAAGCAAAUGUAACAGGGGAGCCUGCCUAACACACGCAUUAAACCACAAUCUGUCUUCAAA